rnacentral:rRNA from 1 species
AUUGAACGCUGGCGGCAGGCCUAACACAUGCAAGUCGAGCGGAUGAAGGGUGCUUGCUCCUGGAUUCAGCGGCGGACGGGUGGGUAAUGCCUAGGAAUCUGCCUGGUAGUUGGUUAUAACGUCCGGAAGCGGGCGCUAAUACCGCAUACGUCCUGAGGGAGAAAGGGUGGGAUCUUCGGACCUCACGCUAUCAGAUGAGCCUAGGUCGGAUUAGCUAGUUGGUGGGGUAAAGGCCUACCAAGGCGACGAUCCGUAGCUGGUCUGAGAGGAUGAUCAGUCACACUGGAACUGAGACACGGUCCAGACUCCUACGGGAGGCAGCAGUGGGGAAUAUUGGACAAUGGGCGCAAGCCUGAUCCAGCCAUGCCGCGUGUGUGAAGAAGGUCUUCGGAUUGUAAAGCACUUUAAGUUGGGAGGAAGGGCAGUAAGUUAAUACCUUGCUGUUUUGACGUUACCAACAGAAUAAGCACCGGCUAACUUCGUG